rnacentral:rRNA from 1 species
UACGGGGGGGGUAAGCGUUGUUCGGAAUUACUGGGCGUAAAGAGCUCGUAGGUGGUUUGUCGCGUUGUUCGUGAAAACUCACAGCUCAACUGUGGGCGUGCGGGCGAUACGGGCAGACUGGAGUACUGCAGGGGAGACUGGAAUUCCUGGUGUAGCGGUGGAAUGCGCAGAUAUCAGGAGGAACACCGGUGGCGAAGGCGGGUCUCUGGGCAGUAACUGACGCUGAGGAGCGAAAGCGUGGGGAGCGAACAGG